rnacentral:rRNA from 1 species
UACGAAGGGGGCUAGCGUUGCUCGGAAUCACUGGGCGUAAAGCGCACGUAGGCGGAUUGUUAAGUCGGGGGUGAAAUCCUGGAGCUCAACUCCAGAACUGCCUUUGAUACUGGCGAUCUUGAGUCCGGGAGAGGUGAGUGGAACUGCGAGUGUAGAGGUGAAAUGCGUAGAUAUCAGGAGGAACACCGGUGGCGAAGGCGGCUCUCUGGACGGUGACUGACGCUGAGACGCGAAAGCGUGGGGAGCAAACAGG